AAAAUACAAUGUUUUACAAUGUUUUACAGGUGACACACCACCCCUGCUCUGAGAUGGCCAAAAGUCACAGGAAUAUGUAGGGCAGUGAAUGAUGAGACCAAGCUCAGAACUGUACUAACCAUGCUGAUACGGAUUGCAUGCAGCUCAGAGCCCUGGCAGCACAUGUUUAUGUUUUCCUAAAACACACCCUAUUCAAACCCUUCUGCUGGAACAUAGACAAUGCUUAACUGAAGUCUUGCCAGAUGCCUAGCAGCACCAGAUGCUGAAGACUCCUUGUUUUCAGGGUCCAUUGCUCUGGGGCUGCAUCACCAUGUGGAUAACUCUGGGCCUCCAGGACUCCCAGGUUGUCUGCUUCUCAUGAUGAGUCUGGAAUUGGAGAGAACCUUGACCUGACAUGAAUUUCUGAAGAACAGACUUCUCAUUCCUUAGCAGGAAGCCAUUCAUACACAGCAUCAGCAUUAGGAUGUACUUCAACAUUUCUUUUUGGUUUCAAGUCACUGUUUUGGAAUUUGGAACUUUAUUUACUCAUAGUAAAUAUAUACUUGCGUAGUAUCCAUUGGAAAAUGAGACUUUAGAAGGUCAUCUAGAAGGCCUCCAUACCCAGGCAGAACUAGCUUUCCUACAAACACUUUAUUUGGCCAGCUGUAAAUGACCUUACUUCCCAUGGCAAGGUCAAGAAAAUAACUUGGACAGUGAAUACCAUGAGGUUAAGUUCUGCAGCACAGCAGAAUUUCUUGAAGUCUAUACCACUGCAUAGUCAGGAUAACCUACAUCUAAUCAACUCAACUUCAUAUUUCUGUCAGGAAUGACUGAGUCACCUUAUAUGCAUAUAUGCCCAUGAAAUCUGCAGCAUGGAUUUAAGUAUGUAACAGGGAUAAUCCACUCUGAAUAUUAUGUAAGUAAUGAGCACUAAGAAAUAAUUUACCUAAUUAAAAAAUGUUGGUAGAAUAACAAUGAAGAGGAAAGCACACUAUGAAAACUGAAGUGCUGAAUAACAUCAUAAUAAUCCAUGAAUAUUGGAUGUCAUCAUCUUAAUCCAGAAGGAACUUCUAUACAAAUUUCAUUAGCAUGUUCUAAAACUUGGCGUAUUAUAAGAAGUUGUUUACAGAGAAAACACAGCCUUAAUAUCUCUCACAAUCUGUCACUAGCAAAAAAAAAGAAAAAAAAAAAAAAAAAAAAAAAAAAAAAAGGCUGUAUCACUAAACAAAGAUCUUGCCUAGGGAACUUUUCUGUGUACCAAACUAACAACAUCCAUGAUUGCCUCACAUCUGAAUAACUGAAUACAUUAUUUGUGAGACUAAAACUAAACAUUUGGAAGUGAAAAUAAAAUUAUGCUUGUUAACAAUU